AGUUAGGCAACAGGUUCGUUUCUAAUAAUAAAACAUUAAUGACAAUUUCAAAAACUUUAUUAGAGUACCAACAUCUUGAAAAGAACAACAGGAUGACUGUCACGAAUCCCGCUUCCUGAGUCUGUGUUUGCCUGUGUUUCUGUCCUGGAGUGUGUUUCCGGUGUCCUGGAACGCACCCUGUCUGGUUGCCGGGCGAAUUAGCUUGUUGGGAGAUCGAUGUUCACCCGCACCUGUAUCCCAUCAGUAAUCUGCACACCUGUCCUGAUCAUCACCUCUCCCCUUCAAAAGCUCUGACCUGACAUCCAUUCCCUGCCGGAUCGUUAGCCAUGAACAUUACUCACCCGGAUCAUUUACCCCAUUCCCGCCUGGUCGGAGGAGGAUUCCGCUACCCCAUUGGAUCCACCUAUUUACUCCCAUCAACUCACCACCGCUGCCCGCUACGCCACCUGGAUAUAUCUACCCAUUCACAUUCACUUGUAAAUAAAUACUCACCUUCUUCCUA